GACCUUAUGGGAAGAAAGUUGUAUGCUUCGUCUUCCUUUCUUGUCUUCUCUUCAUUUGGUUGUUUAUCUUUCGUUUUUUUUUUGCUUGAUUUUGGAAAACCCUAACUAAAGGGGGCAAGGUUUUAUAGAGAACGCGAGAACUCCAUGGGUGCCACUUAAUCGGAGGGUGGACGUCAUAUGAAGAAAGUUUGAUAUUGGUUGCCCAACUGAUGACCUAGUACGUCUAUCAAUACCAAUGUUACCAACAAGCCUCCAACACAUGUCGUUGAUGACAUCCUUAACAAAUUGAUUUCAC
rnacentral:sRNA from 1 species